UUAAAUUGAAGAGUUUGAUCAUGGCUCAGAUUGAACGCUGGCGGCAGGCCUAACACAUGCAAGUCGAACGGUAACAGGAAACAGCUUGCUGUUUCGCUGACGAGUGGCGGACGGGUGAGUAAUGUCUGGGAAACUGCCUGAUGGAGGGGGAUAACUACUGGAAACGGUAGCUAAUACCGCAUAACGUCGCAAGACCAAAGAGGGGGACCUUCGGGCCUCUUGCCAUCGGAUGUGCCCAGAUGGGAUUAGCUAGUAGGUGGGGUAAAGGCUCACCUAGGCGACGAUCCCUAGCUGGUCUGAGAGGAUGACCAGCCACACUGGAACUGAGACACGGUCCAGACUCCUA
rnacentral:rRNA from 1 species